rnacentral:rRNA from 1 species
AGUGAACGCUGGCGGUAGGCCUAACACAUGCAAGUCGAACGGCAGCACAGUAAGAGCUUGCUCUUACGGGUGGCGAGUGGCGGACGGGUGAGGAAUACAUCGGAAUCUACUUUUUCGUGGGGGAUAACGUAGGGAAACUUACGCUAAUACCGCAUACGACCUACGGGUGAAAGUAGGGGAUCUUCGGACCUUGCGCGAUUGAAUGAGCCGAUGUCGGAUUAGCUAGUUGGCGGGGUAAAGGCCCACCAAGGCGACGAUCCGUAGCUGGUCUGAGAGGAUGAUCAGCCACACUGGAACUGAGACACGGUCCAGACUCCUACGGGAGGCAGCAGUGGGGAAUAUUGGACAAUGGGCGCAAGCCUGAUCCAGCCAUACCGCGUGGGUGAAGAAGGCCUUCGGGUUGUAAAGCCCUUUUGUUGGGAAAGAAAAGCAGCAGGUUAAUACCCCGCUGUUCUGACGGUACCCAAAGAAUAAGCGCCGGCUAACUUCGUG